GACGAACGCUGGCGGCGUGCCUAAUACAUGCAAGUUGAGCGCUGAAGGUUGGUACUUGUACCAACUGGAUGAGCAGCGCACGGGUGAGUAACGCGUGGGGAAUCUGCCUUUGAGCGGGGGACAACAUUUGGAAACGAAUGCUAAUACCGCAUAAAAACUUUAAACACAAGUUUUAAGUUUGAAAGAUGCAAUUGCAUCACUCAAAGAUGAUCCCGCGUUGUAUUAGCUAGUUGGUGAGGUAAAGGCUCACCAAGGCGAUGAUACAUAGCCGACCUGAGAGGGUGAUCGGCCACAUUGGGACUGAGACACGGCCCAAACUCCUACGGGAGGCAGCAGUAGGGAAUCUUCGGCAAUGGACGAAAGUCUGACCGAGCAACGCCGCGUGAGUGAAGAAGGUUUUCGGAUCGUAAAACUCUGUUGGUAGAGAAGAACGUUGGUGAGAGUGGAAAGCUCAUAAAGUGACGGUAACUACCCAGAAAGGGACGGCUAACUACGUG
rnacentral:rRNA from 1 species